UUUUGAUAUUUCCUCAGAGACACUGACUUCAGAAAAAAAGAGGUGUGAGAUAAAGAGGGGGCUGCCAACUCUUCCCCACUACCCAACCCCAAACAUGCAGCCAUGUGGGAGUCGGCUCUUGCCAAGAAAUAAAAGUAGGGUAAGAUAACCUGAUAACAAGUGCAUCCCAGAAUAAGUGAAUCACUGACAGCAUCCUGUUUCAACCCAACUGAAGACUUGCCUGCCCAUUCUUUCAUUAAGCAUUUGUUGAAUGCCAUGUGCCAGGCCUUGCUGGAGGCACUGGGAAGCACAGGUAAGUAGCUUGGCAUCUCCAAAAACUUCAGUGUGGUAGAGACACACAGCUCCUUCAAGAAUCCACUUCCUUACCUUCCCUUCUCCCCUUUCCCUUUCUCUCUUCCUCUUUCUUUCUUUCUUUUUCUUUCUCUUUCUUUUUCUUUCUUUUCUUUCUUUCUUUUUCUUUCUUUCUUUUUCUUUCUUUCUUUCUUUCUUUCUUUCUUUCUUUCUUUCUUUCUCUUUCUUCUUUCUGUCUUCUUCCUUCUUUCUGUCUUCUUUCUUCUUUCUUUCUGUCUUCUUUUUCUUUUUCUGUCUCUUUCUCUCUCUUUCUAUCUCUCUCUCUCUUUUGUUUUGUUUUUGUUUUUGUUUUUUUGACAGUGUCUUGCUCUGUCAUCCAGACUGGAGCAAAGUGGCAUGAUCAUGGCUUACUGCAGCCUUGACCUCCAAACUCAAGCAAUCCUCCCAUCUCAGCCUUUUGAGUAGCAGGUACUACAGGUGUGCAUCAACCAUGUGUCUAAUUUUUAAAUUUUUUGUAGAGACAGGGGUCUCAAACUCCUGGGCUCAAGUAAUCCUCCCGCCUCAGCCUCCCAAAGUGCUGGGAUUACAGAUGGGAGCCAUCACAUCUGGCCCAAGGAUCUACUCUCUAAAUAGACCUUUACCCAAAUAAAAGCUGGGAAAUAGUAAUGAGUACCACACUACUACAAAUAAUCCAGUUCCCAGGAAGGCUUAUUAUAGCCUGGCCUAUCAAUUAAUCACAGACAAUUCUCUAGAAUAAGACAUUUAUGUCUAGGGUCUAAGGGUAAGGUAAAAAGACUGAGGAAGCUCUUGUCCCUGCCAUGGCUUAGUCACUGGUAAGGAAAUAAGAUAGAGAAGAAAAGGCAAGGUCCGUUCUCCGAGAAAAUGCCUCUUAACUUUCCUGCCUUCACUUGAGUCACAUGCUCUACAGUCCUAUUGUGUGGCCCUAAAACCAGCCCAAGCUGGGAUAGCCAGAUAGAGAGCAUGGAAAACCAUCUGAUAAGUGACCAUAGGUAGCAUAUUAUAUUUGAACUGGAUCUUGAUAACACAUAGACCUGGUACUCAACAGGAGUGCAAUUACACAGUGAUUCAGUAAACAUUUAAGCAUCCCCUAUGUGCCAGGCACUGUGCUAGUGCUACUAAUGAGACACUCAUCAUGUUUGCCUAUAGUAUAGUCUAGCAGUGUGACAGAUGUUAAACAGGUAACUGCAGGUGUGGGGGCUAAAAGAUUAAGGGAAGUCUCUGAGGCAGUGGCAUUAAGUUGCUGGGUGAAGGAUGAGAGUGUUGACCAGGGAAAGAUGGCAUGGAGGAGCAUUCCAGGAAGGAGAUGGUGCAUGCAUGGUGAGAUGUUGGACUGACAGUCGUAUCUACUCUUCUAUUAAUCUUCCUUCCUUCCUUUUUUUCUUUCUUUCUUUCUUUCUUUCUUUCUUUCUUUCUUUCUUUCUUUCUUUCUUUCUUUUUCUUUCUCUCUUUCUUUCUUUCUUUCUUUUCUUUCUUUCUUUUUCUUUCUUUCAGAUGUUGGACUGUCAGUCGUAUCUACUCACUCUUUCUUUCUUUUCUUUCCUUUCUUUCUUUCUUUCCUUCUUUCUUUCUUUCUUUCUUUCUUUCUUUCUUUCUUUCUUUCUUUCUUUCUUUCUGAUGUUGGACUGUCAGUUGUAUCCACUCUUCUAUUAACCUACCUUCCUUCCUUUCUCUCUCUCUUUCUUUUCUUUCUGCUGGCUUUCUCCCCUCCAAAACAUAAAUGUGCUCGAAUCUGUAUCAUCUUCAAACCAAAACAGCAAAAAAGCAAAACUAAAACACUUUCACUUUUUUUGGACAACUUUUGCCAUUUUAUUGUCUUCUCUCUUCCCCUUGACGUCAAAGCUCUUGAAAGAGCAAUCUGCACUGAUGUGCCCACUCUCCCCUCAACUUGCUGCAGUCUGACUUCCCUGAUAACUUUUCUGUAAUUGUCCCAUAAUGUCAAAUCCAAUGGAUACUUUCCCACUGUUAUCUUAAUCAACCUCUUUGCAAGAGCUGAGUCUGUCGACUCUCCUCACCCUCUUGAUGCCCUCUCUGCCUUUAGUGUCUGUGGUACCACCAAAUCCCGAUUCCCUUCCUAGCUCUCCAUCACUCCUCUCAGUCUCCUUCACAGGCUCUCCACUCCCUGAGAAAUGGCAGUUUAUCCCAGAGCUCCACCCUUGGACAUCAUUAUUGGCUACCAAUGGAUGACUUCUAAUCUACAACUCUGGUGCAGAUCCCAUUUGGCAGUCUUGAUGUCUAUUGGACAGAUCUUUAUCAAUAACUCACAGGUUUAUCUUUUAAAAACCAUAUACCUGUUUUACAAGGAUCUCACAAAGAUUAACAAUAUGUACACUAUGAAGGAUCCCAUCUGCCUCAGAGAAGAUACGCUUUUCGUCACAGACUGUAUACUUUUUACAGUUCUUAUCUAUUUAUUCUACUGCAAAAACUGCCGAUUCUACAGAGCCUAUUAAUUCCACUGGGAAGACAUGUACGGAAUGUGCUCAUGAGUAUGGGACUUCCUGUAAUUGUUGGAAAGAAGAAAAAGGCUGAUGGAAAAAACAUUUUGGCCUGGCACUCAGGAGAAAACUUCUGCUGAGGAAUGAACAGGAAAAACAAUGAUGGACCACCUCAAGGAACAAAUCGGAUAGCUUCGACUUCCCCUCUGGAAGCCCUGCUGGGCUGGGAUGCACCUAUCCCUACUUCUUAGAUGUUCCCAUAUGUUCUCAACAGCAUUCUGUCCCUCCUAAGGAGUGUCACUAAAGCUAGCUGGUCUCUUAGGAUUGUUACCUUUAUUGAUGAUUUUCCCAUUAUGCUUCCUGGUGUCUGGCACCAAGACCACACCCCUACUUCUCCAAUGGCCCUUUCCCUCAGUAAGCUUAGCUUAUUGCUCACCUCCCACCUUCUCCCUGAACCCCAGCAGAAAGACAUGGACCUGUCAGAUGCUCCUGAUAUUUAAGUGUCUAUGCCAAAAUCUCAUGUGGACCUUGUUUGUUCAAAUGAGUUACUACUGAGAGAGAUGGCAAAGUCAUCUUCUUUAGGGAACCUGAAAAUUGUCUUCAGUCUGAAGAAAGAGCAAAAGAUAGGUGAGAAGGACAGCAUAAGAGGAGAGCCAUGUAUUCUCCUGACCAUGAGCUCACGGUAGAUAAACCCCUAGUUACCUGAAGGCAGCACUGUGAGCAUCAUCCGCUGUGACUCAUCAGAUGCUUGAUUAAUCCACUUGCUUGGGUGUCCAUGGAGCUGCCACUCUGCCACCCUACACCAGUACAUUCCUGCAUCCUCCAUCUCCACCUGAUGAAGCUUCAAGACAAAGUCUGUAGGGGAUGAACGGUAACAGUGCAGGUGCCUCCUGAGCCCCUCUUCCCCAUACUCCAGCAAGCCAUCAUGUUGCAAGUGCACCAGCAUUUUACCUCCAGAGUUUUCUCUGUUCGAGUACCACAUCACAGAGUACAGAGCGGCCGGGCUGCCUACACUCUCCAGGCUGCAGCGGAUGGCCACUUCUCUGUGCUCGGUCACAUUUUCGGUCCAGUACACUUUGGAGACACGUACCUUACUUCCUAGAAAAUAAAAUGGCAGUAAAUUAG